GUGAAGGAGGAAGGCGAGGAGGGAAAGGAGAAAGACGUGGUGAAGGACGAGGUAGAAGAGGAGUAAGGGCAAGGAGACAAGCAGUCUCGGAUGAAAUUCGAGCCACUUUAGUGGACCAUGUUCUUGUCCAUGGUAUGACCAUGAGGGAGGAUGGGCAAUCCAGCCUAAUUUGAGUCGCUUCACCGUCGCCUCCAUCAUCAGAACCUUCAGGGAGGAAAACAGGAUACAGAGACGACCAUCUGGUGGUGAGAGGUUAAGGCUUUUGUCAGAGGAGCAAGAGAGGGAGCUUGUAAACAUGGUCAUUGCCAAUAAUGUAAUCCGCCUGCGAGAGAUUCAAAGGAGAGUGAUUGAGGAUAAUAAUAAUUUUCAAGGAAUAAAUUCCAUCAGCCUUUCCAUAAUUGAUCGCAUUCUCCGAAAGCAAUGGUUCCAGAUGAAACAGGUGUACCGCGUCCCUUUUGAACGAAACUCUGACAGGGUAAAAGAUCCACGAGUGGAUUAUGUUCAGGUAUGACUUUUGAUAUUGUAUGAAGUAUUCUAUUGGGUUUUGAUGUGUUUUGCAGAGAAUCUUUGAGAUUGAAGGCUGGCCUGUUCCACCUGAAAUUAUCUUUGUGGAUGAGGCUGGUUUCAACCUCACCAAAAAAAGGAGAAUGGGGAGGAAUAUAAUCGGCCAUCGGGCUAUUGUAAAUGUCCCUGGUCAGCAUGGAGGGAAUGUCACGAUGUGCGCAGCCAUCAGCCAAUGAGGGGUACUCCACCGCCAUCCCAGUCUAGGACCCUAUAAUACUAUGCUCCUUCUUGCAUUCCUUGACGGUCUAAGAGAGCAUAUGUUCCAGCUGGACCACAGGGAACCAGCACAACCAGAGCACCCUCACUAUGUGGUUGUUUGGGACAACGUCAGCUUCCAUCGCGCUGCUCUGGUUCGUGACAGGUUUACCGAUAACCCAAUAUUUUCCAACCUCUUUCUACCUGCAUACUCUCUAUUUCUUAACCCAAUAGAGGAGUUUUUUUGGCAUGGCGGUAGAAAGUGUAUGACCGAGAACCUUAUAUGCGUGUUCACCUUCUUCAAGCCAUGAAAGAAGCCUGCCUAGACAUAUCAGUAGAUGCGUGCCAGGGGUGGAUCAGGCAUGCAAGAGGGUUUUACCCCCCCUGCCUGGCUAGGGCCAAUUCUUAUUUAUUUUUUUACUGUGUAGUACUGUAAUACAGUAAUGAAUGAAAUGUGCCAAUGUAACCAUUGGUUGUGUCUUGUGUUCAUCUGAAAAGGUUUGUGGCAACAUAAAUAAACAGUUUUGGAAA